rnacentral:rRNA from 1 species
UACGGAGGGUGCGAGCGUUGUCCGGAAUCACUGGGCGUAAAGGGCGCGUAGGUGGCCUGUGGAAGUCUGCGGUGAAAGCCCGGCGCUCAACGCCGGGUCGGCCGUGGAUACUCUCGGGCUUGAGCUUACUAGAGGCAGAUGGAAUUCCGGGUGUAGCGGUGGAAUGCGUAGAGAUCCGGAGGAACACCGGUGGCGAAGGCGGUCUGCUGGGGUAAUGCUGACACUGAGGCGCGACAGCGUGGGGAGCAAACAGG